GCUGGAUAGCUCAGCUGGUUCGAGCAUGGUGCUGGUAAUGCCAAGGUUGCAGGUUCAAUCCCCAUAAGGGGCAGCU
rnacentral:tRNA from 1 species